rnacentral:rRNA from 1 species
AUUGAACGCUGGCGGCAGGCCUAACACAUGCAAGUCGAGCGGCAGCGACUUAACUGAACCUUCGGGGAACGUUAAGGGCGGCGAGCGGCGGACGGGUGAGUAAUGCCUGGGAAUAUGCCCUGAUGUGGGGGAUAACUAUUGGAAACGAUAGCUAAUACCGCAUAAUCUCUUCGGAGCAAAGAGGGGGACCUUCGGGCCUCUCGCGUCAGGAUUAGCCCAGGUGGGAUUAGCUUGUUGGUGAGGUAAUGGCUCACCAAGGCAACGAUCCCUAGCUGGUCUGAGAGGAUGAUCAGCCACACUGGAACUGAGACACGGUCCAGACUCCUACGGGAGGCAGCAGUGGGGAAUAUUGCACAAUGGGGGAAACCCUGAUGCAGCCAUGCCGCGUGUGUGAAGAAGGCCUUCGGGUUGUAAAGCACCUUCAGUAGGGAGGAAGGUAGUGUAGUUAACACCUGCAUUAUUUGACGUUACCUACAGAAGAAGCACCGGCUAACUCCGUGCCAGCAGCCGCGGUAAUACGGAGGGUGCGAGCGUUAAUCGGAAUUACUGGGCGUAAAGCGCAUGCAGGCGGCCUGUUAAGUCAAUGUGAAAGCCCGGGGCUUAACCUCGGAAUUGCAUUUGAAACUGGCAGGCUAGAGUCUUGUAGAGGGGGGUAGAAUUUCAGUGUAGCGGUGAAAUGCGUAGAGAUCUGAAGGAAUACCAGUGGCGAAGGCGGCCCCCUGGACAAAGACUGACGCUCAGAUGCGAAAGCGUGGGGAGCAAACAGG